rnacentral:tRNA from 1 species
GAUGGAAUAGUUCAGUUGGUUAGAACGUUGGAAUCAUAAUCCAAGUGUCAGGGGUUCAAGUCCCUUUUUCAUUA